rnacentral:piRNA from 1 species
UGUUCUUCAGGGCUGGUACAGAGCUUGC